GGAGUCGGCCGGGCAGUCGCGUCGCGCGCAAGCGCAUCGAGGAAAGUCCGGGCUCCACAGGGCAGAGUGCCAGGUAACUCCUGGGCAGCGUGAGCUGACGGCCAGUGCAACAGAGAGCAGACCGCCGAUGGCCCACUCGGAGCAAGACCAAAUAGGGGAACGAUAACGCGGCCCGCGUUGUUCCCGGGUAGGUUGCUGGAGCCAGGCGGCGACGCCUGGCCGAGAGGAAUGACUGUCGCGCCGCAAGGCGUACAGAACCCGGCUUACAGGCCGACUCCACCU
rnacentral:RNase_P_RNA from 1 species